rnacentral:rRNA from 1 species
CCUACGGGCGGCAGCAGUGAGGAAUAUUGGUCAAUGGCCGGAAGGCUGAACCAGCCAUGCCGCGUGAAGGUCAGUGCUCUAUGGGCGUUAAACUUCUUUUGUGCGGGAGCAAUAAUGGUCACGUGUGGCCAGACGAGAGUACCGUACGAAUAAGCAUCGGCUAACCCCGUGCCAGCAGCCGCGGUAAUACGGGGGAUGCAAGCGUUAUCCGGAUUUUUUGGGUUUAAAGGGUGCGUAGGCUGUGAGGUAAGUCAGCGGUGAAAUGCCCCCGGUCAACGGGGUGAAGUGCCAUUGAUACCGGCUUGCUGGGAGGCGGAUGCCGUGGGGGGAAUGUGUGGUGUAGGGGUGAAAUGCAUAG